UGAGUACGAGAUGCUACGGCAUCGAAGCAGUCUAUGUCAUACUUCCAAGAAAAGCUUGCACUGUCAUAAACAAAGAAUGCCUGUACCAUAACCGACACAGGUGGGUAGGUAGAGUAUACUAAGGGGCGCGAGAUAACUCUCUCUAAGGAACUCGGCAAAAUGACUCCGUAACUUCGGGAGAAGGAGUGCCUUAUUUCUAAGGUUGCAAUAACAAGAUCCAAGCAACUGUUUACCAAAAACACAGGUCUCCGCUAAGUCGCAAGACGAUGUAUGGGGGCUGACGCCUGCCCAGUGCCAGAAGGUUAAAGAAGUUGGUUAGCAUUAGCGAAGCUGAUAACUGAAGCCCUGGUGAACGGCGGCCGUAACUAUAACGGUCCUAAGGUAGCGAAAUUCCUUGUCGGGUAAGUUCCGACCCGCACGAAAGGCGUAAUGAUUUGGAUACUGUCUCGGAGAGGGGCUCGGUGAAAUAGACUUGUCUGUGAAGAUGCGGACUACCUGCACCUGGACAGAAAGACCCUAUGAAGCUUUACUGUAACUUGAGAUUGAAAUUGGACUUUAUUUGCGCAGUAUAGGUGGGAGGCGUUGAGAAUAAUCUUGCGGGAUUGUUGGAGCCAUCAGUGAGAUACCACUCUUGUAAUGUUAGAUUUCUAACUUUGUAUCAUUAUCUGGUCAAAGAACAGUUUCAGGCGGGCAGUUUGACUGGGGCGGUCGCCUCCCAAAGGGUAACGGAGGCGCACAAAGGUUUCCUCUGAACGGGUAGAAAUCGUAUCUAGAGUGUAAAGGCAUAAGGAAGCUUGACUGUGAGACCUACAAGUCGAGCAGGGACGAAAGUCGGUCUUAGUGAUCUGACGGUGCUGAGUGGAAAGGCCGUCACUCAACGGAUAAAAGUUACUCUAGGAUAACAGGCUGAUCUCCCCCAAGAGUUCACAUCGACGGGGAGGUUUGGCACCUCGAUGUCGGCUCAUCGCAUCCUGGGGCGGUAGUCCGUCCCAAGGGUUGGGCUGUUCGCCCAUGAAAGCGGUACGCGAGCUGGGUUCAGAACGUCGUGAGACAGUUCGGUCCAUAUCCGGUGUAGGCGUUAGAAUAUUGAGAGGAGCCUUCUCUAGUACGAGAGGACCGAGAAGGACAUACCUCUGGUGUACCAGUUAUCGUGCCAACGGUAAACGCUGGGUAGCUAUGUAUGGAGUGGAUAACCGCUGAAAGCAUCUAAGUGGGAAGCCCACCUCAAGAUAAGUAUUCUC
rnacentral:rRNA from 1 species